UCCCCAAUCAGUGCCAGCUGAUGGCCAACCUGGAUAGCUGAGCUGGAAGGCAUUGAAAUAGCAGUUAAAGGAACACAUAGCAAAGUCAUUUCUUCAAAAUUUACUCUGCAAGUGCUGGGCAGAGUUAUUUCCCCAAUGGAUGGGCUAAGGUAGGGAUGUAAAUGCUAAAUGUUUCAGCUUUUUUAUUAUUUAUCAGUUGAUUGAUCAGACACCUUAAGUCCGUAUUUAUACACACAAGUGCUAGGAUGUUUUCAUCUUGUUUUUCAUCUGAUACUUUUGAAAAGACAUGGUAUCUAAUUUCUUCAUACAACACAACAGAAUUGUUUCUAGGAUUUUUUUUUUUCAACAAAGUCAAAAUAUUUCACAAAGCUUUCACUUCAGAUGUCUCAAAACACCUCACAUUACAUAACCAAUUCUUUCGUCCAACAGAUUCGCUUCAGCGCUCGCCAUGGCACAGAGCAGUUCCAAGCUAGCGAGUGAUGCUGGAAUAUGAACCAACUGAAACAGCAUCUGUGGGGAGCUUCAGGGCAGGCAGGUCCCUAUGCUGCAGCUGCUGUCCAGCAUGAAAGUGUCUGGCGCUGCCAGGAGGCUGCCAUACGUCUGCUCCUCUGGCGCUCCGUCGGGGUAUCUGGAGAGAAGGACACGCCUGGGGCUCCGCCGCGCCUGGGACAUGGUGCUCUGCAAAGAAGGGCCAGCGUCACUCCCAUGCUGUGCUGUCUGGGAACGCGACGUUGGGUUAGGCGGACGUGGUUCGGUGUGCGUGGCCGCCCCUGCUGGGCCUGCAGUGUGCUGAGGUCAAGUUUGAGGCCGUUAUGCACCAAGAAAUCCUUGAUCUUCUUUCAGUAUUUAGAAGAACUCUACAUUUUCCAUAAGCAAAGUUACCAAAUAUUACAGUGUAUGUAUUAUUGUAUAAGUAAAUGCACUUCUAUAACCUAGCAGAAACUUGGUAUAACUAAAUGAAGGUAUAUUCGGUUCAGCCUGUAUCACUGCAAAAGCAAAGACUUCACUUACUGACAUUUAAUGUGACUAGAGAAAAAAAUCUAAGGAUUACCUUGUGUUCAGUAGACAUUAACAUACUGUAUGGACUAUAAUCAUACAUUUUUUCCUUUUAUUUAUACAAUGCCACCCUUAGUCAUAUAGAUGUUUAUUUACAUGUCAGUGUCAGAAUCUGAACAUACGUUACAGGAUAGUUAAAAGGCUUAUGAUCAUCUACAAAAAUAACAAAAAUGAGUAGUUUCAGAUGCUGUAUCCUUUCCCUAUUUUGUUUUAAAUAGUGCUUCCACUACGUGUUGAUCUAUGUCUCCCACCUCAGUCCAAGCAAAAGUCAAGAAAAGGGUUAUAGAGGAACUUUCAGCAUUUCCAGCACUGUACCUCAUUUCCAGUAACCCAGUUCCCCAGAGAACAUGCUAGCUGUGAGCCAAGUGCUGAGGCUCCAUACACACCAUAUAGUGAAGCCAUCUCAGUUCAAAUCUGUAUUCCCCUCCACUAGUAUCAGCCCUUCACUUCCCACAGAAGCACCUAGUCCAGCAAGCUGCUGGCUAUAGUGGUGCUCAACAGGUGAUCCCAUUCAACAGCUACAUCUCCCUUCAUUUCUGGGCAAGGCUGACACAACAUGUACACUAUGGAGUUGCAUUAUCCAGGGCAAGUCAUGCUCUAGCAGCUCUCUCAGAGCAAGCUUGGGCAUGAGCUCUACAAGAUCCUGAAAGGCCAAAGAGAACCUGGGAAUGGCUGCAUAAUGUUUGAAGGAUGCCAGGAAUGCCAAAGUACUCUCUUCGAUAUCCAAAGUGCCAACUCUGUGGAAGUGGCUAGCCUCAGCAGGUGGCUUAGAGAAACAGCCCAAGCAUGCAUCGUUGGCCUUGCAGAAGGUAAACCACCCGCCCAUACACUCACUGCAAGGCACGGAGCAAACAUCUAGCUAUAUAGUGCUGCUAUUCCUGUAGGCUGAAGGCACCAGAGGAAGAUUCAAACAAAUGGAAAAGUGUCACUCAUGUGUCUUUGAAACUUAGAGCCAUUAGUAGCCUUUACUAAAACAAACACUAUGGAUGGAAUGUAUUUAAAAACUGAAAUAAAACCUCAAGUGUC